UACGUAGGGUGCGAGCGUUAAUCGGAAUUACUGGGCGUAAAGCGUGCGCAGGCGGUUUUGUAAGCCAGAUGUGAAAUCCCCGGGCUUAACCUGGGAAUGGCAUUUGGGACUGCAAGGCUCGAGUGCGGCAGAGGAGACUGGAAUUCCUGGUGUAGCAGUGAAAUGCGUAGAUAUCAGGAGGAACACCGAUGGCGAAGGGCAGGUCUCUGGGCUGACACUGACGCUCAUG
rnacentral:rRNA from 1 species